UACGUAGGGUGCAAGCGUUGUCCGGAAUUAUUGGCGUAAAAGGCUCUUAGGCUGUUUGUCACGUCUGCUGUGAAAACUGGAGGCUCAACCUCCAGCUUGCAGUUGGUACGGGCAGACUAGAGUGCGGUAGGGGAGAUUGGAAUUCCUGGUGUAGCGGUGGAAUGCGCAGAUAUCAGGAGGAACACCGAUGGCGAAGGCAGAUCUCUGGGCCGUAACUGACGCUGAGGAGCGAAAGCGUGGGGAGCGAACAGG
rnacentral:rRNA from 1 species